UACGUAGGGUGCGAGCGUUAAUCGGAAUUACUGGGCGUAAAGUGUGCGCAGGCGGCCGCGCAAGUCGAGUGUGAAAGCCCCCGGGCUUAACUUGGGAAUUGCGCUCGAAACUACGUGGCUGGAGUAUGGCAGAGGAAGGUGGAAUUCCACGUGUAGCGGUGAAAUGCGUAGAGAUGUGGGAGGAACACCGAUGGCGCAAGGCAGCCCCCUGGGAGUAACACC
rnacentral:rRNA from 1 species